AUCAUUACCGAGUGCGGGUCCUUUGGGCCCAACCUCCCAUCCGUGUCUAUUAUACCCUGUUGCUUCGGCGGGCCCGCCGCUUGUCGGCCGCCGGGGGGGCGCCUUUGCCCCCCGGGCCCGUGCCCGCCGGAGACCCCAACACGAACACUGUCUGAAAGCGUGCAGUCUGAGUUGAUUGAAUGCAAUCAGUUAAAACUUUCAACAAUGGAUCUCUUGGUUCCGGCAUCGAUGAAGAACGCAGCGAAAUGCGAUAACUAAUGUGAAUUGCAGAAUUCAGUGAAUCAUCGAGUCUUUGAACGCACAUUGCGCCCCCUGGCAUUCCGGGGGGCAUGCCUGUCCGAGCGUCAUUGCUGCCCAUCAAGCCCGGCUUGUGUGUUGGGUCGUCGUCCCCCCCGGGGGACGGGCCCGAAAGGCAGCGGCGGCACCGUGUCCGGUCCUCGAGCGUAUGGGACUUUGUCACCCGCCCGAUUAGGGCCGGCCGGGCGCCAGCCGACGUCUCCAACCAUUUUCUUCAGGUUGACCUCGGAUCAGGUAGGGAUACCCGCUGAACUUAAGCAUAUCAAUAAGCGGAGGA
rnacentral:rRNA from 1 species